GACGUAGGGGGCAAGCGUUGUCCGGAAUUAUUGGGCGUAAAGGCGCUCGUAGGUGGAUCGAAAAGUCUGUGAGGAAAUACCUGGGCUCAACUCAGGUAACCCGUGCGGAUACUUUCGAUCUUGAGGCAAUCAGAGGAUGAUGGAAUUCCCGGUGUAGCGGUGAAAUGCGUAGAUAAUCGGGAGGAACACCAGUGGCGAAGGCGAAUCAUCUGG
rnacentral:rRNA from 1 species